GGAAGUAUAGUUCAGUGGUAGAGUAAUUGUCUAAUAUAUAUAAGGUCCUGGGUUCAUUUCCCAGCACAGCCA
rnacentral:tRNA from 1 species